CGAGGAAAUGCUCUGGCGCUUCGGGAGGGUCUCGCGGCCUAUCAGCUAGUUGGCGGGGUAACGGCCCACCAAGGCAACGACGGGUAGCUGGUCUGAGAGGACGAUCAGCCACACUGGGACUGAGACACGGCCCAGACUCCUACGGGAGGCAGCAGUGGGGAAUAUUGCGCAAUGGGCGAAAGCCUGACGCAGCAACGCCGCGUGAGGGAAGACGGCUCUCGGGUUGUAAACCUCUUUCAGUGAUGACGAAAAUGACGGUAAUCACAGAAGAAGCUCCGGCCAACUACGUGCCAGCAGCCGCGGUAAUACGUAGGGAGCAAGCGUUGUCCGGAUUCAUUGGGCGUAAAGAGCUCGCAGGCGGUUGUGUAAGUCAGAUGUGAAAACUCAGGGCUCAACCCGGAGACGCCAUCUGAUACUGCACUGACUGGAGUCCGGUAGGGGAGCAUGGAAUUCCUGGUGUAGCGGUGGAAUGCGCAGACAUCAGGAGGAACACCAGUGGCGAAGGCGGUGCUCUGGGCCGGAACUGACGCUGAGGAGCGAAAGCGUGGGGAGCGAACAGGAUUAGAUACCCUGGUAGUCCACGCCGUAAACGUUGGGCACUAGGUGUGGGGUCCCUCUAACGGGGAUUCCGUACCGUAGCUAACGCAUUA
rnacentral:rRNA from 1 species